AGUGAACGCUGGCGGUAGGCCUAACACAUGCAAGUCGAACGGCAGCACAGUAAGAGCUUGCUCUUACGGGUGGCGAGUGGCGGACGGGUGAGGAAUACAUCGGAAUCUACUUUUUCGUGGGGGAUAACGUAGGGAAACUUACGCUAAUACCGCAUACGACCUACGGGUGAAAGCAGGGGAUCUUCGGACCUUGCGCGAUUGAAUGAGCCGAUGUCGGAGUAGCUAGUUGGCGGGGUAAAGGCCCACCAAGGCGACGAUCCGUUGCUGGUCUGUGAGGAUGGUCAGCCACACUGGAAGUGAGACACGGUCCAGACUCCUACGGGAGGCAGCAGUGGGGAAUAUUGGACAAUGGGCGCAAGCCUGAUCCAGCCAUACCGCGUGGGUGAAGAAGGCCUUCGGGUUGUAAAGCCCUUUUGUUGGGAAAGAAAAGCAGCAGGUUAAUACCCCGCUGUUCUGACGGUACCCAAAGAAUAAGCACCGGCUAACUUCGUG
rnacentral:rRNA from 1 species